UACGGGGGGAGCAAGCGUUGUUCGGAUUUACUGGGCGUAAAGGGCGCGUAGGCGGCCAGCACAAGUCAGUUGUGAAAUCUCCGAGCUUAACUCGGAACGGUCAACUGAUACUGUGCGGCUAGAGUGCGGAAGGGGCAACUGGAAUUCUUGGUGUAGCGGUGAAAUGCGCAGAUAUCGGGAGGAACACCUAUGGCGAAGGCAGCUCGCUGGGACGUUACUGACGCUGAGACGCGAAAGCGUGGGUAUCAAACAGG
rnacentral:rRNA from 1 species